rnacentral:rRNA from 1 species
UACGUAGGGUGCGAGCGUUAAUCGGAAUUACUGGGCGUAAAGCGUGCGCAGGCGGUUUGUUAAGACAGAUGUGAAAUCCCCGGGCUUAACCUGGGAACUGCAUUGGUGACUGGCAGGCUUUGAGUAUGGCAGAGGGGGGUAGAAUUCCACGUGUAGCAGUGAAAUGCGUAGAGAUGUGGAGGAAUACCGAUGGCGAAGGCAGCCCCCUGGGCCAAUACUGACGCUCAUGCACGAAAGCGUGGGGAGCAAACAGG